CAGCACCUCAAGUGGUCAGGAUGAUUAUUGGGCCUAAAGCAUCCGUAGCCGGCGCUGUAAGUUUUCGGUUAAAUCUGUACGCUCAACGUACAGGCUGCCGGGAAUACUGCAGCGCUAGGGAGUUGGAGAGGUAGACGGUACUCGGUAGGAAGGGGUAAAAUCCUUUGAUCUAUUGAUGACCACCUGUGGCGAAGGCGGUCUACCAGAACACGUCCGACGGUGAGGGAUGAAAGCUGGGGGAGCAGACCGGAUUAGAUACCCGAGUAGUCC
rnacentral:rRNA from 1 species